AAUGUAUCAUUAUAGAAAUUCUACCUUAAAUUUUUCAAUUUUAUAAACGUGAUUUUGAAACAAUACAUUUCAAAACAAAGUGAUGCACAGUUGAGGUGAAGGUCAUGCUGUACAAAGUUUCAAGAGAAAUCUACAAACUGUACGAGAAGUGUUUGGACACACACAUACUGUCUUCUCUAUUAACAAGGAGAUAGCUUUCAAACUAAAACCUACUUUGAUUUAAUAAAUAAUAGAAAUAUUUUUAUAGAGUAACACUAGAGAUUCCCUCAAAUUAUCUAGAGGCACUCACCUACCAUAUAUUCAUAAAUUGUCACAUGACAUUGAACAUAACAGUACAAAUAGAAUGAAUUGAAAUACAGAUCAGUUAGUCGCUGCACUAAAUCCUAUCCACAUGCAGUAGGGGGGGGGGGGGGGGGGA